CUACGAGAAGCCAUGGAAUCAACAGAGAGAAUCGAAAUUAGGGUUUCAGAGAAGAUUCAAAAUCAAACCCUAGAAAUUCCCAAUUUCUUUGGAUUUGAAAAAAAUAAAUAAAAAGUCCCCUAGUUUCGUGGAGGCUUCAAGCCUUCAAUAGAGACAAAUGAAAGGGGUCGGCCAACAGUAUUAUAUUAUCAUCCUCCUUGAACAGCAACGAGAAAUCAACACUAGUUAGAAAUGAUUUAUGUUUUCUCCAGAUCAAAAACUAAAAAAAAAAGAAAAUAAAAUAAAAAGGCAAAAAAUAAACCUCAUCCAAAUUAAAGUCACUUUCGGUGUUCUCACAAUACAAUUGUGUAGCCUUGGUGAGAUCGAGCUCAUUGGAAGCAGCCCCCCCAGCAAGAUCUUGUAAUUUCUUUGGUAAUCGAAGAGAUGACGUGAUGAAUGGAGGACUGGAAAAAGGAAUUGAAGAAAUGACAUGAUGA
rnacentral:lncRNA from 1 species